rnacentral:rRNA from 1 species
AUUGAACGCUGGCGGCAGGCCUAACACAUGCAAGUCGAGCGGAAACGAGUUAUCUGAACCUUCGGGGGACGAUAAUGGCGUCGAGCGGCGGACGGGUGAGUAAUGCCUAGGAAAUUGCUCUGAUGUGGGGGAUAACCAUUGGAAACGAUGGCUAAUACCGCAUAAUACCUACGGGUCAAAGAGGGGGACCUUCGGGCCUCUCGCGUCAGGAUAUGCCUAGGUGGGAUUAGCUAGUUGGUGAGGUAAUGGCUCACCAAGGCGACGAUCCCUAGCUGGUCUGAGAGGAUGAUCAGCCACACUGGAACUGAGACACGGUCCAGACUCCUACGGGAGGCAGCAGUGGGGAAUAUUGCACAAUGGGCGCAAGCCUGAUGCAGCCAUGCCGCGUGUGUGAAGAAGGCCUCGGUUG